rnacentral:rRNA from 1 species
GGGACAACAGUUGGAAACGACUGCUAAUACCGCAUAAGCCCACGGGUCGGCAUCGACCUGAGGGAAAAGGAGCAAUCCGCUUUGAGAUGGCCUCGCGUCCGAUUAGCUAGUUGGUGAGGUAAUGGCCCACCAAGGCGACGAUCGGUAGCCGGACUGAGAGGUUGAACGGCCACAUUGGGACUGAGACACGGCCCAGACUCCUACGGGAGGCAGCAGUGGGGAAUAUUGCACAAUGGGGGAAACCCUGAUGCAGCGACGCCGCGUGGAGGAAGAAGGUCUUCGGAUUGUAAACUCCUGUUGUUGAGGAAGAUAAUGACGGUACUCAACAAGGAAGUGACGGCUAACUACGUGCCAGCAGCCGCGGUAAAACGUAGGUCACAAGCGUUGUCCGGAAUUACUGGGUGUAAAGGGAGCGCAGGCGGGAAGACAAGUUGGAAGUGAAAUCUAUGGGCUCAACCCAUAAACUGCUUUCAAAACUGUUUUUCUUGAGUAGUGCAGAGGUAGGCGGAAUUCCCGGUGUAGCGGUGGAAUGCGUAGAUAUCGGGAGGAACACCAGUGGCGAAGGCGGCCUACUGGGCACCAACUGACGCUGAGGCUCGAAAGUGUGGGUAGCAAACAGGAUUAGAUACCCUGGUAGUCCACACCGUAAACGAUGA